GACAGAGGUUGCAAACGUUGUUCGGAAUCACUGGGCAUAAAGCGCACGUAGGCGGUCUGUUAAGUCAGGCGUGAAAGUCCUGAGCUCAACCUGGGAACUGCGCUUGAUACGGCAGAGCUAGAGGAUGGAAGAGGCUCGCGGAAUUCCCAGUGUAGAGGUGAAAUUCGUAGAUAUUGGGGAAGAACACCGGUGGCGAAGGCGGCGAGCUGGUCCAUUACUGACGCUGAGGCGCGACAGCGUGGGGAGCAAACAGG
rnacentral:rRNA from 1 species